AUCCUUUUAUAGUUCACAUAAUUGUGAUAAUUAGGUUUAUACACUCAUAUGUGAGAUGUGUCUCCCUCAAACCUUGUUAGACCUUGGCACAUUGCUCAUCUAAUG